CACACGGACGUGCAUGAAAUUUGGUGCUGUGACUCGGAUCGGGGGACCUCCCUUGGGAGAUCAAUCCCCUGUACUCCUGUUCUUUGCUCCGUGAGAAAGAUCCACCUAUGACCUUAGGUCCUCAGACCGACCAGCCCAAGAAACAUCUCACCAAUUUCAAAUCUGGAGCUUGCUACAAGUGCCAGAAAUCUGGCCACUGGGCCAAGGAAUGCCCGCAGCCCGGGAUUGCUCCUAAGCCGCGUCCCAUCUGUGUAAGACUCCACUGAAAAUCGGACUGUUCAACUCACCUGGCAGCCACUCCCAGAGCCCCUGGAACUCUGGCCCAAGGCUCUCUGACUGACUCCUUCCCAGAUCUUCUCAGCUUAGCGGCUGAAGACUGACACUGCCCGAUCGCCUCGGAAGCCCCCUAGACCAUCACGGACGCCGAGCUUCGGGUAACUCUCACAGUGGAAGCUUGACCAUGUGACUCUGGACAUCGAUCAACAUGACAUUAGCAAAUGUGAAGCAAACAGAGGCUUGAACAGCAUUUACCCUUUCUUGCUGCUGUAUACACUUCUUCCGCCAAACAAAUAAGGCUGAGAUGGCUUAUUAAAGACAUGAGGACCAAAUGAGAGCAAACACUAACCAAUAGACACAUAAGUUAGCCUCAGUGGA